GGCUCGUUGGUCAAGAGGUUAAGACACCGCCCUUUCACGGCGGUAACAGGGUUCAACCCCUACGAGUCACCA
rnacentral:tRNA from 1 species